AUAAAUUGGACAUGGAUAUACAUUUUCCUUUACGAAUGAUCGCUUUACUGGUGACUUUCCACAUAGCCGUUUGUCAAGGUAAUUUCAUAUUUGCAUAAAAAAAAUGAAGAAACAGCUUAGAUGUCAUAUUACGAAUAAUGUAAGCAUUAUUAAAGUAUUCCUAAAACAAAAAGUCGAAAUAAAUCAAAUAAUAAAAUGAUUUAAAUAGCACAAAUUACUGUAAUUGCAAAACAACUGAUCAAUAAAUUAUCUCCAGCGAACGAACCAUCUUGUAUGUAGCUACCCGUUUAUCAUAUUUGUAUUAGAUAUAAUUUAUACCUUUAAUAUUUUCUUUUAAAAUAAAUCUUCACAGUACAUAGUUUUAAUUGAUAGUAUUCAUGGUAGGACUUCGCAAAAACAAAUACGGUAAACCAGGCUUCAAAAAAGUAAUUGUUAUUAGCUUGUUGUUCAAUUUACUGAAACAGUCGACCCAAUUGUUUCCACUUUACCCAGUUAAUUUCAAAGUAAAACAAUAAUAUGUAACAGAUAUGCGACAAGCAAAUUCUUAAAUUUGUAUGAUAUUUCAAACAUUAAGAACUUAGACAAGACAAGACUUACAAUUUUUAGAUAAGCAUCUGUAUACCGCCUUCAUAAAUGUAUUUUAACAUCAUUCAUGUCAUGUUGUCCAAUUUUAGACUUAUAAUUUUUAAACAAGCACCUGUAUACCCACUACUUAUUAAUAUAUUUGUAACAUUAUUCAUGUCAUAAUAGUCUUUCCAAAAAUUUUAGGUGUCUUCAUUGUGUGUUUGCAAACGACAAAUGAUUAUUCAACCCAGCCUUGUCAAUCAAAAAUUCUCCCUAAUGUCACGAAUCUAUUGCGAAAACGAGUAAUCACCAAUAAAAAGUUUUUUUGCAAUUAGAUGUGAUUAAAAUCAUUCUUUAAAGUCAUGUUUACUACUUAUCACAGAUGAACUAACAGAUAGAUUGGGACAGUCAACUGGAUCAGAUAAUGAAACAGGAAACUCGUCUAACCUAAGUGUUCUUUGGAUAUGUGUUGCAUUUGCUGCCGUCCUUGCUGUUUGCAUGAUAAUUGCUAGUUUUUUGUGAUUCAAAGAAAAAUGAAAAACAAAAACGAAAUGUAUGUAUAUAUAAUAAAGAAGAGUACUUCA
rnacentral:lncRNA from 1 species